rnacentral:tRNA from 1 species
GGUGGGUGUAGCUCAGCGGUUUAGAGCACUGGGCUGUGGCCCCAGGUGUCGGGGGUUCGAAUCCCCUCACCCACC